rnacentral:lncRNA from 1 species
UUCGAUGCUUGUUGGUAUGUGGCCUGUUUCAGCCCAAUUAUUUGUCUAGUUUGGCCCAAGCAGACUUUAGCCCAAUCACACACAUACAUCCAACAUUAUUUCAUUCAAAUUAGGAAAACUCCUAGGUUUACAUCACACAAAAAGAAAAUAUCUCCCAGGUUUACAUAACACAAAAAUCAUCUCAGGAAUACAUUUCCUUACACAGGACUAUAUAAUAAGAAAGAUGGCACAUCUGCUACUAUCAUAACAGCAUAAUGUACUUUUUUUAACAGAACAGUACAAUGGAUUUCAUUGCUCUCUCUUAUGCGACAUGCUCCAACUGCCACAACUUGCCAUCCUACAAUGAGAGAGAUAUAACAUUAGUGGAGCAAACGCUCAAUCAAACACCAAGGGCUUAAUAAAGCCUUAGCUAGCAUGCAUUCGAAAUUUAGACAGUUGGUAUAGCCUCGUCAAGCAGGCAAUCAAUUACAGAAAUUAAAUGAGGACCAGACUUUACAAUUACAGUACCAUAGGACAAAUCCAUCAAUCCAUGAGGCAAAAUAUGAGUGAAUCCAAAAAGAGGUAGAAAGGAAUACCUAUUUUGAUCCUGAGGAGCUCGUGACCAUGGCCAUUCACCCUGGAUCAGAC